AACCCAGUUUACAACUUUUAGAUCAGCAAAUAAAUUAAAAUUAAUCUUCGUAUGUUUAAGUUUAGGUUAAGAAGUGUUAUGCACCAUAAAAAGGUGCAACUCCACUCGAAGACGACCUUAUUGUCGUUGUAAUUCCCUUCGUAGAAAGUGAAGAUCCAGAAAUAGAGAACUAAAACACUAGAAAAACAAAAAGAACAUAAAUAGAGAGGAGAGAGGAAUGUAAGUAGAUCGCUUCCAAGGGUGUUUCAACCUAGAAGUUUUAUCAAAUCAAUUUUCUAAAGAAGGAAGUGAAAGAGAAUAUGAAUCACCUUUUAAAACACAGUCGGAGAAAUUACUGAAAAACCAAGUAGACUGUGAGGAUUGAGUUCAGCAACUUCCACCAGUUCGUCAUGGAACCUAUUUUCCAGCCAUUUCAACUUGAGAUUCUGUAUUCUAGGACAAUGUCAUAUUAUAUGCUCAAUCUUACCUAGCUCCUCUACAUCUUUGCAUACUAGAGUAAUGACAUUCGUCACUUUAGUGUCCCUUUCGUAAACAAGAUCGAAUAUAUUGGUCACUUACUGUCCCGGAAUUGUCUAGAGAGUAGUUACUUAAAAAACUUAAACCAAACGGUUCAUUACACUAGUUUUCCGGCUGUCUCUUUGUAAUACAUCGAUGAUGAUUGACAUUCUUCUAGAACAAGCUCAUGCUAAAAUUGCUAGUCUUUAACCCUCCACUUAGGGGUAAACGUAAGAAUUAGGUUAAAUAGAAUAGAAUCUUAUAAGAUUCAGGAUUGGAGAGUUUUGGAAGAGUACUUAUUUUCUGAUUAUCGGUAUAUAUGGUUCAAAACACUUUGGCCUCAGCCUAAGGCGAUAACAUUUCAGAAUAAGAUUAACUAUGGAGAUUCAGAAUCUCGGGAAAAAUGAAUAUGUAUCAUGGUAUCUCGAGAGCUAACAAGACUCAUACAAACUAUUCUGCGAACUGACGUUUCGAUCAAGAAAUUUUUAUCUAAAAUAUAUAAGACCCUCUGAACAUAUAGUCAUGUAUUCUUCCCAAAUCCAAUUGAAAAAAGUGGGCAUCUUUACAUAAAUUAAAAGUGAUCAAGUCUUUUAUAUUAAGGAAAUCUAUAUAUUGUGCCUCAUCAACUCCGACGUGAGCGGUAGUGUGGGAUAGUCGAUGACCAGGUAAAUAGAUGCUUGGUAAUUGUUGUCAAUUUCAACACCGCUGCAUCCAAAGUAGACAACACUGUUGAGAGAAGAUAUCUUAAGUUUUUGUGACAUAUUAUAAAUGUUCUCGGACCCAGUAUUACAGCAGAAAGAAUGUUAGAUGAUAUCUAGUUCCGAUGGAGGUUUAUUUGGAUGUCUUCAAUCCGCAAGUGAAAUACCCUUCUGAUCAUCCUAGAGAUUCGAAUGCUAACGUUCGUGAUGUGCAUUAAAGUCUCGACAUGGCUAUCGGCUUUCAAGAUGAAUUUAAUUUCUGACAGCCUGCUGGUACGCUGUUAAUUGGCGGAAUGAAUACGUUGGACAGUUCAAUUACGGUAGCACUUGACUAAAUCGCAAUCCCUUGGAUCGAUUUAGGAAUUUAGGUUGUAUCUAAACCUCCGCUCUUACCUGAUCCCGGCGUAGAAUGUUGUAAUUAUUACAGCGAUGUUAUUGGUAGCUGGACAUCAGUUUCGUUUCUUGGAUCGCUGCUGCCUGAAUCUAGUUAUAUCUACGAUCUCAUUAUGGAUUUCAUUACAAUUGAAAUGCAUUUACAUAUAUCAUCAUUUCAGGCUUAUGAGCAGCUUUUGGGUUUGAUGCUGUCGGGAGUUGGAGAUUCUAACCAAAUUGUUUGUGUUUAUCGAACGAACGAACUUGAUUGUAUCGAUGUUGAGAACGUUUAGGAAUUAUGUAGCCUAUUGAUGUAGCAUGGGGCAACGAACUAUCCUAUCCUCUCCACUCGCCAAAAUCAUUUAAACCGUUGCGGUUACGGUUGGCAUCUUUUCUGAAGUGGACCCACUCGUUGCAAACGGUGCACAUAACUGAUGGUUUGUUAGAGCAAUACCAUUGUCUUAAAUUUAGUUUAACUCCAGCCAUGAGCAAAAGAAUUUGGUUUUUUCAUCAAAAUUUGAUGGUUGUUGUGGUUGUUGUAUUAGCGAUACGUGUAAAGUCGGUGUGGCUGGGUUGACAAUCUUUAGUCGUUGUUCGUUGAACUCCGAGUCGUUCCGGUGGGAUGGUUGUCUGCAAUACUCGCCAUUGAGUGUCACUGAAAUAAGGGGUCCAUAUUAGGGCAGCGUAAUUAAGGAGAGAGCGACCAAUUGCUUAUACGUCGCCGUGAUUGUCUCCUUAUCCAUGCCCCAGCAGGUGCCAGCGAGUGCUUUUAGGAUUUAAUUCGGGAUUUCACUUUAUGGUCGAUGUAGGUGGCGUGCAAAGAGAAGGAGGCUGUAGAAGACUACUCCUAAAAUUUUCGGGUUCUGAACCAUAGGAGUACGUCUGCAUUUGACUUAGAUGUUGAGUUAUCUGCAUACGACUUCAUCGAAACACCUUGAGGUGGUUCGGGAAGCGAGGAAAAAUAAAUGUUGAAGAGUAUAGACGAUAGUACUCCUCCUUGUGGCACGCCCACUAUCUUGCGGUAGUUGGACUUCCCGCCUAUGAACUCAACAAAAUGUUUGUCUGCCACAGAUAUAACUGCCAAUCCAGCGUUUGACAUCUUUGGGUAGAGUGGAGUUCGAGAUGUCAUUUAUCAGCACGGAAUGAUCGACCGUAUCAAUAGCUUUGCAUAAGUCCAGAGCCGCAUCAUUUGUGCACGGUCGUGCUGAAUGAGUCUGAUCGUGCUGAGUCUGAUAGAUCAGAGUUAAAAUUGUGGGUGAGU